GAUGAACGCUGGCGGCGUGCCUAAUACAUGCAAGUCGAGCGAACGGACGAGAAGCUUGCUUCUCUGAUGUUAGCGGCGGACGGGUGAGUAACACGUGGAUAACCUACCUAUAAGACUGGGAUAACUUCGGGAAACCGGAGCUAAUACCGGAUGAUAUUUUGAACCGCAUGGUUCAAAAGUGAAAGACGGUCUUGCUGUCACUUAUAGAUGGAUCCGCGCUGCAUUAGCUAGUUGGUAAGGUAAUGGCUUACCAAGGCAACGAUGCAUAGCCGACCUGAGAGGGUGAUCGGCCACACUGGAACUGAGACACGGCCCAGACUCCUACGGGAGGCAGCAGUAGGGAAUCUUCCGCAAUGGGCGAAAGCCUGACGGAGCAACGCCGCGUGAGUGAUGAAGGUCUUCGGAUCGUAAAACUCUGUUAUUAGGGAAGAACAUAUGUGUAAGUAACUGUGCACAUCUUGACGGUACCUAAUCAGAAAGCCACGGCUAACUACGUG
rnacentral:rRNA from 1 species